rnacentral:rRNA from 1 species
UACGAAGGGUGCUAGCGUUGUUCGGAAUUACUGGGCGUAAAGCGCGCGUAGGCGGCUUGUCAAGUCAGGGGUGAAAUCCUGGGGCUUAACCCCAGAAUUGCCUUUGAAACUGUCAAGCUGGAGUGUCGGAGGGGAUAGCGGAAUUGCUAAUGUAGAGGUGAAAUUCGUAGAUAUUAGCAGGAACACCGGUGGCGAAGGCGGCUAUCUGGACGACAACUGACGCUGAGGCGCGAAAGCGUGGGGAUCAAACAGG